rnacentral:rRNA from 1 species
AGAGUUUGAUUCUGGCUCAGAAUGAACGCUGGCGGCAUGGAUUAGGCAUGCAAGUCGAACGUACUCCCUUCGGGGAGAAAGUGGCGAAAGGGUGAGUAACACGUGAGCAACCUGCCUCCGGAUCCGGAAUAAUCCAGGGAAACUUGGUCUAAAACCGGAUGAAGACAUUGGUCCGCAUGGUCUAAUGUUAAAAUAUUUAUAGUCCGGAGAGGGGCUCGCGGCCCAUUAGCUGGUUGGCGGGGUAAUGGCCCACCAAGGCUACGACGGGUAGGUGGUCUGAGAGGAUGGUCACCCACACUGGGACUGAGACACUGCCCAGACUCCUACGGGAGGCUGCAGUCGAGAAUCUUCCGCAAUGGGCGCAAAGCCUGACGGAGCGAUGCCGCGUGAGGGAUGAAGGCCUUCGGGUUGUAAACCUCUGUCAUCCGGGACGAAAACAAUGACGGUACCGGAAAAGGAAGCCACGGCUAACCACGUGCCAGCAGCCGC